GACGAACGCUGGCGGCGUGCCUAAUACAUGCAAGUCGAACGCACGAAGUUGAAGAGCUUGCUCUUUAACCAAGUGAGUGGCGGACGGGUGAGUAACACGUGGGUAACCUGCCCAUUAGAGGGGGAUAACAUUCGGAAACGGAUGCUAAUACCGCAUAGUUUCAGGGAUCGCAUGAUUCUUGAAGGAAAGGUGGCUUCGGCUACCACUAAUGGAUGGACCCGCGGCGUAUUAGCUAGUUGGUGAGGUAAUGGCUCACCAAGGCAAUGAUACGUAGCCGACCUGAGAGGGUGAUCGGCCACACUGGGACUGAGACACGGCCCAGACUCCUACGGGAGGCAGCAGUAGGGAAUCUUCCGCAAUGGACGAAAGUCUGACGGAGCAACGCCGCGUGAGUGAAGAAGGUUUUCGGAUCGUAAAACUCUGUUGUUAAAGAAGAACAAGGAUGAGAGUAACUGCUCAUCCCCUGACGGUAUUUAACCAGAAAGCCACGGCUAACUACGUGCCAGCAGCCGCGGUAAUACGUAGGUGGCAAGCGUUGUCCGGAUUUAUUGGGCGUAAAGCGAGCGCAGGCGGUUCUUUAAGUCUGAUGUGAAAGCCCCCGGCUCAACCGGGGAGGGUCAUUGGAAACUGGAGAACUUGAGUGCAGAAGAGGAGAGUGGAAUUCCACGUGUAGCGGUGAAAUGCGUAGAUAUGUGGGAGGAACACCAGUGGCGAAGGCGACUCUCUGGUCUGUAACUGACGCUGAGGCUCGAAACGUGGGGGAGCAAACAGG
rnacentral:rRNA from 1 species